rnacentral:rRNA from 1 species
GAUGAACGCUGGCGGCGUGCCUAAUACAUGCGAGUCGAGCGAACAGACGAGGAGCUUGCUCCUCUGACGUUAGCGGCGGACGGGUGAGUAACACGUGGAUAACCUACCUAUAAGACUGGGAUAACUUCGGGAAACCGGAGCUAAUACCGGAUAAUAUAUUGAACCGCAUGGUUCAAUAGUGAAAGACGGUUUUGCUGUCACUUAUAGAUGGAUCCGCGCCGCAUUAGCUAGUUGGUAAGGUAACGGCUUACCAAGGCAACGAUGCGUAGCCGACCUGAGAGGGUGAUCGGCCACACUGGAACUGAGACACGGUCCAGACUCCUACGGGAGGCAGCAGUAGGGAAUCUUCCGCAAUGGGCGAAAGCUCGACGGAGCAACGCCGCGUGAGUGAUGAAGGUCUUCGGAUCGUAAAACUCUGUUAUUAGGGAAGAACAAAUGUGUAAGUAACUAUGCACGUCUUGACGGUACCUAAUCAGAAAGCCACGGCUAACUACGU